UGGAGGCAGCAGUGGGGAAUAUUGCACAAUGGGGGAAACCCUGAUGCAGCAACGCCGCGUGAGUGAUGAAGGCCUUCGGGUUGUAAAGCUCUGUCUUUUGGGACGAUGAUGACGGUACCAAAGGAGGAAGCCACGGCUAACUACGUGCCAGCAGCCGCGGUAAUACGUAGGUGGCAAGCGUUGUCCGGAUUUACUGGGCGUAAAGGAUGCGUAGGCGGAUAUUUAAGUCAGAUGUGAAAAUCCCGGGCUUAACUUGGGAACUGCAUUUGAAACUGGAUAUCUAGAGUGCGGGAGAGGAGAGUGGAAUUCCUAGUGUAGCGGUGAAAUGCGUAGAGAUUAGGAAGAACACCAGUGGCGAAGGCGACUCUCUGGACCGUAACUGACGCUGAGGCAUGAAAGCGUGGGGAGCAAACAGGAUUAGAUACCCCUGUAGUCCG
rnacentral:rRNA from 1 species